rnacentral:misc_RNA from 1 species
GAUGAAGAACGUAGCGAAAUGCGAUAAGUAGUGUGAAUUGCAGAAUUCAGUGAAUCAUCGAAUCUUUGAACGCACAUUGCGGCCAUAGGUAUUCCUUUGGCCAUGCCUGUUCGAGCGUCAUUUAGACCCUCAAGCCUAGCUUGGUGUUGGGCGCAUGUCCCGCCGUUUUCGCGCGCGGACUCGCCUCAAAGUCAUUGGCGGCGGUCGUGCCGGCCCCCUCGCGCAGCACAUUUGCGCUUCUCGGAGGCCCGGCGGAUCCGCGCUCCAGCAAGACCUUUCACGACUUGACCUCGGAUCAGGUAGGGAUACCCGCUGAACUUAAGCAUAUCAAUAAGCGGAGGA